CUGGGCAGGCGGUGUCACCUCCCUGGCGUGCCCUGGCAGGGCUCAGCCUGGCCCGGGCCAGUUCUCAGCUCACCCUCUGCUCUUCCCCUGCAGGUGGCCCUGGCCGGAGGCUGGCGCUGCCCGGGAGCCGGUGCGGGUCGUGGGCUCCCACAUGUGUGUGCACGUGUGAUUGCUGCAAAACUCGUGUCUCUUGCUUGUCUCCCAGAGGGUGACAUUUGCCUGCAGCCCUUCCUGCUGACAGUUACCUGUCAGAUUUUGGCUACAGAAGAGCGAGGAGGUGGUGGUGGCACAGGCCCUCUCUGUGAAGCUGCUUGGAGUGGCAGGGAGCCUGCAGGAUGCCGCCAACCAUUCCCUCGACCCCAGUGAGAACGAAGCUGGCAAGGAACAACCACUGCCUUUGUCAUGCCUCUUGUGAACCGCCAUUCAGCCAGGGAAACAAUGCUUAAACUGUGCUCCGUUUGCUUUGUAACUUCUUCCCUGCUGUGUGUUGUUCACAGCAAAACCCGGGUCCCUGCGAGGGGAUGCAGGCAAGUGGGUGAGCUGGACAGGACACUGCACACUGCUGUCAUAUUCCACAACACUCGGUGACCACAUCUGAAUGAAGAGAAAUUGGGGUAAUGUUUGCUAAGCUGCUCUGCUGGACAGAAUUAAGUCCAGUGUUUGUCAGUGCAAUUCGUCAUCCAAGUAUCUGCACAGAUCCACCACAGCUCCUGGUGUCUCAGGUGUCAGCUGCGGCACGGAAAAUCCUCUUUCAUCACUCGUGUUGGAUUCCAGAUGAAAACUCAUUAAAGGCAACCAUUUCCACCACCCCGUGCUAUUGCCAGGCACUCACCUGUCACUUGCAUCCUAUUACUGCAAGCAUGGGAUAAUUUGUACCAAAGUUUGGGAUCAAAAUGAAUGGUUUUAAACCAGCUAAUUCUGUAGCUCUUCCUUUGUGUCCAGUGCAGCCUCACCCGCCUGUGCCUUGCUGCCUGUCACUGAUGGUAGUGGCACCUGCUGCAUCUCUGAGUGUUGCCUGCUCUGGGAAAUGGCCUUGCCCAACCACCAAUCCCAAAUCCACUCCCUGCCAUCACCAGGACAUUGGCAUUGAUUUGUAUGUCCAGUGUGAUGGUAAGCCAGGUUGCCCAGCCUUUUCUACUCAUCUUCUGCACAUGCUUGGGUAAGCCAAGUGGUGUCAAAGCUGAAAGGCAAGGGGUUAGAAUAGUUGCAAAACCAAAUUGGGUUUUCUGUAGGAAAUUAAUGCCUUUGGUGUGGAAGCAGCAUGUUUUUUCUUGGGCCAAGCGCUCCAAUGGAGGUAGGGGGACCAGCUACAACUGGAGAGUGCUAUUGGCCCCAGCAUUGGCUUGAAAACAGGCCAGAGCACGCUGAGUCCUCACUGCCCCAGAGCUGGCUCCUGUCUGCAAAAUAUAUUUGUCACAUACAUUUGAAGCAGAAGCCUGCCUGUAGGCAAGACAGCCUGUUUUCACUGGAGCAAAAGUAUUACGUUUGCCCCCAAAAUUGUUUAUAGCAUGCCCAGCACUAGCAGUGAAGCACAACAACCCAAAAAGGUUUUAAUUUUGUGAUACGUAUUUUAUGUGCAGACCACGGACAUGCCUCAUUUAUUUGCAGUCCAGCCUGCUUUUAAUCACUUUGAAUUAAGUAACUGAUCUUAUUACUGAUCCGACUGUGAGAGGGCUUAUCAUAGCUUCCUUGGCACAUGACAAAGAUUACUCCGUCUGUGCAGCCAUGUCUGAGUAAUGUGACGUGUCGUCUCGGAGCUAUUCUUUUCUUCACCCUCCUACAGGACACUGCUCUUUUGGUUUCUUGAGCGCAUUGAUCCUUUGCUUUCUCCAGCCAGUGACAAAUUAAAACCCCCUUAGUGCUACUGAAACCCAGCCACGUAAUGGGAUGAAGGGAAAAGCUCUGCUGUUUCUUCUAGCAGACGUCAUUUGUUUCCUGAGGUUUUCAUUAAAUAAGGGCAGGAUCAUACUAACUUAACGGACUUGAUUGUGGGUGUAAUUAAAAGCACCAUGAAAAUAGGCAGUUAUCAGGGUGCAUACUGAACAUAGUUAAUGUUUAGUGCUGGUUUUGAGCCUGAGAUGGAAGCUGGGCAAAGAGUACAUCCCUCAUCUUUGAAAAGGGCUGAAAGAUACAGGUUUUACUCCAGCCCUUGCAAGGAUUUUGUGUGUGAGUUUGACUCUGAACAUUUACCUGUCUCCUUUCAAAGGUCAGCAGAGUUUGGACAACAACUCUGGAGCUGUGGUGGGCUGAAGCAGCAGAGCUACCACUUUGCUUUAAGCCUCUGGCUCUGAGGUCUUUGUCAGCAAGUCAGGUAGAAACAGCUGAUCUCCCAGUCAGGUAAAAUUAAACAUCUUCAGAGAGAAGCAAUGAGUGCUGGUGGUUUGCAGUAAGGGCACUCAGCUGGAAUAUACGCUUGGAUCUUCCCCUCCCACGGCAGGUACUUCAUUGACCUUCAGUUUGCGGUGCCAUCAGCAUCCCAUUUGCAGAAGGGGUGCAGUAAUGUUGCUUUGACCACCUUGGUUUAGCCCAUGAGUUCUGUAGGUCAGGGAUAGUAUGCAAGUGUAUCAGUUUGGUCCUUGAGGUUCUGGCUCUGCACAGGGAUCCCUCUGCUCUGCUGUGUUAGACAGGGAAUAGAGGCUGGUCAUCCAGCAGUAGCCUGCGGGGACACAAGAAGGCAGAGCUGCUAGCAGUCUAUAUGCGACUUGGUUCUCCUUUGGUGAGGUCAUGCCAGGUGAAGAGGUGAAUGGCAGACCCAGGCACCUCUGCUUAGCUGUGAUGAAUAGUAGCUGCUGCUGACGCCUCGUGGAAGCCUUAGAUAAAUAUUUUCUCCAGAAUACCCUCUGUUUCCUUUUCUCCACUGCUGCUGGUUCCCCAUCUGAGGAGCUCACCCUUUAUUUCUAUCAUCUCCGGAGCACCCAGCCGGGAAGCAGACAGCAGGGCCCCCAGCUGCUUACAGGACCAGGGAUGGGAAGGCAGCCAAGAAAGGCUGCCCAGGGACUGUUCUUUACCUCUCUGAGGAGGGCAUGUGUUCUCCCUGCGCUGUGGUGAAUGCAGCUCACCAUGGGUGUCUUUUGCACAUCAGAUGCAGAGAGGAAAGCAUCCCGCUCCUAUACUCACCUGUGGGUCUGAAACAUUCAUUGCAUACAUGCCUGUUGUGUGCCUGUUUUGCCCAUCUCCAUUUUUCGGGGGCAUAUUGGCAAGUGCCGUUGUAAAUCACUCUGCCCUUUCAUUUCAGAAGCACAAAUAUCUAUGUGAAAAAGUCACAGAAGUUUUCCUGGGAAGUGAGAAAAUAUGUUUAUUUGAGAAGCAAGAAUGCUGAAGGUGUUGCUAGGAGUCAGCAGUGGUCUUGGUUGGGCCAUUGCUGCUGGCUCCAUAUCUGAAACCAUCAGACAACAUCACUCUGUCCAGGGGUGGAGUCAUGGCCUUGAACCCUGUUCUCACCACUCUUCUCUGCACUGUCUCGCCCAUCACUCACAGCACCCACAUCUUCUUCCUCCCCAGUCUUCUUUUGUAUUAGUCACUCUCUACUUGCCUGACUUCAUAUGAAUCAUCAUUUCACAUUAAGCCUGAGCUGCCCAUAACCCUGGCUGCUUUGGUUUCUCUGCUGUGCUAUAGAGUCAGCUCCAUCCUAACCCACAGCAUGAAAGGAAAAUCUGCUUUGGAAACAGCAAAGUGAACAAGUCUUCUCUUGUUACUCUUGUUUCCUGGCUGCUGCAGAGUGAAUGUGACACCCUUCCAAAAAUUUGCAUCCCAAAUGGUGCCUGGGAACCUCAAGCGAAGCUAUCGAAUACUUCAUUUUGGAAAGGAAAUCUCUUCACCAGCUCUGGAGGAAGUAUGUAACAUGAGGUUCCACUGCAGUCAAACAUCAGUCCUGGCCAAUGGGAGGCUGAAUGCAUGGCUCAACUGGUGUCACUGAUCUGCUGAGGCUGUUGGUGCCCACUGGUGGGAUAGCACAGUUUUUAAGGCUUUGAAACUUGGUUUUGAACGCUGGUUCAUUGACAGAGAAAAGUGGUCUGGCAGAAGUGAGGUGGGCAGCAAGGUGAUAAGGUCCUUCAGUGGCAGCUACCACACAAGCCCUCAGGGGUGGUCACAGGCCAUCAUCAGGGUCCUGUUUAUUUUGACUGGGUUUGCAGGCCACUGCUCAUUAAACCUUGAUUUUGGUAUUUGUAAUAAAUGAGCCAUGUUCAUCCUUUUGGAAACCUAGGCAAAUUCUCAGAGCUGCAGCAGAGAUUAAUUUUGACCCAGCAAGUUACAGGGGGAAGCUGAAAAGUGUACUUGUCCCUUAAAAGACAAAACCAUACCUUUUGGGGAGCCUUUCUGUUUUGUAAGCAAGGAGAUGAUGGGAGUCAGAGAGCUCCUGGCGCCUGUGGACGAUUUUGGCUUUCAGCUUGAUGUUGGUUGUUGAAAAUGUUUCCCCAGAUGUAUUAAUACAACCAGACUGGAUUGCAUCUGAGCUGAACAUCGUGAGCCUAAGGCAGGCCAUAAAUAUAGAAGCAAACCAGCCUGAUAUAAGAGUCAUCUGUCCUCUUCUGCACAAGAAGCGAAAGGGAAAGAGAGACAACUUAUUCUGUUGCAAUUUUUAGAUGCUUCCAGGCAUUAGCUUGGGCUUCUGAGAGUGCCUGCCCCAGGGCCCUGGGGCACAGAAGACCCCAUGUAUCCCUCGCUCAGCCCCCAGCAUGCUGUGCCACAGGACUGAGCACUCAGCACAUUUUUAACCCGGGGUUAGAUUUGCUUAGACAAGGUCUGCAAUUGGGAAUGACUAUUUGAUGUGUUUGCCUAACAGGAUUACCCUUAUCAUAAUGAUAUUGCAACCUGGCCUUGGCAGGGCAAACCCCAAGGGCUCAAGGGAUCAAACCCUCACCUCCCUUGCCCCAGAUAUGCACAGCAGAGCUUGCCUCUUAGCAUGCAGUAUCCAGCCAGUGUUUCAGUUGGCAUUUAAUACUCUGCUUUUGGAAAUGGCUCUUUUGCUGUGAACCACGGACUGCAGACACCAUGUUUGGAAUUCAUCUCUUCACAUCUGAAAAAAAAAUUAAAAUCAAUAAUAUUUGAAGGCUGGAAAAACAAUGCAGUGUUUUACAAUUAGAGAACUGUACACCUUCCCUGUUGGGAAUUGCCCUGAGCAGGUGCCUGAUUGAAUUCAGUGUGAAAUUUUUGUCCUCUGGCUCCCUAAGAAUAGGUAAUGAACCAACAAGUUGCCUGCUUUUUUGUAUUGUGUAUCGUGAACAUGCUUAAAAUCGUUACAGAAGCAUCUGUUUGUCUCUAAAAGUGUAUCUGUGGUUAUUAAAGUCUGCUGACUUAAAAGACUCAAGGAAGGCGUAGGAUGAAAGCUCUGUUUUCCUGCAGGUAAAUAGGAUAACAGCUUUGCUAAAGCAGAGCCUGACUCCACUGAUGGUUGGCACCCAGACAUGUCCACCCCAGUUUCUGGCAGAGUGAGGAGCACCCCGUUGUUCCCUGGCAGUGUCACUUUAACCCUAGCACUUCUCGGACCAGCUAAGAUGAGCCUGGCCUUACCACCUCUCAGGGCUAUUUGUGGAAGCAGAACCUGCUGCUUGAUAUUUGGGGGUUCCAAAACAACCAGAAUCCUCUAUUUAUAAUCUGCUAUAACUGGCUUGAAUGAAACCUGUGCUUCUCUGGGCUUUAGGGCCACCAGACUGCUGGUGCAGCAGCACCCUCAUUCCAGGGAAUGCUGCUGGGGAUGCUGAGAUGGUUCUGCAUAAAAUCAAGGGAUGUGUAGGUACAUAGUGUGAGCCAUACGUUCACAGCCUCCUGGGUUUUGGAGCAGACUGUACUUGUCAAGGCUAUGUUGAACCCCUUCUCUAGAUGAGGUUUGGAAGGAUGGAGCAAGGCAGAGAGACAUCUUCCCACUGCAGCAGCAUCACUGUGGAGAUGCUCGGGUUGCUGAAGGGAGUGUUACUCUAACCAUCCUUUUUUUUCCGCCCAAGGCUUUUAUAGCUGGGAUGUGAGCAGGGCCCUGUGACUUGGAAACAACCUAUUCAGUGAUUUCAGUUCACCUGUGAUUAGUAUAUAUUUAAACUUGGUGGUGCAUGUGGCUGUUCACAUCUUGCUGUUCAGAGUGGAACUGCUCUGACCUCGUAGCUCAUUGCAGAACAAACUCCUCCUCUCCAAGACAAAGCAAACCAGCCACCUCUUUUUUUGGAAGCAGGUACAUAUAGUAUAAUGCUUACCCAGGGGUUGUAGUUGAUCUGGUUUUGCUGUGAUAAAUCCCUCUGCCAUUUCAGCCAUAAAACAUGAUAAAUAUGAGGCCAAGCAGAAAGAUUAAAAAAAUAAAUAAAUAUUGACUAAUACUUU